rnacentral:rRNA from 1 species
UACGAAGGGGGCUAGCGUUGUUCGGAAUCACUGGGCGUAAAGCGCACGUAGGCGGAUCCUUAAGUCAGGGGUGAAAUCCCGGGGCUCAACCUCGGAACUGCCUUUGAUACUGGGGAUCUUGAGUCCGGGAGAGGUGAGUGGAAUUGCGAGUGUAGAGGUGAAAUUCGUAGAUAUUCGCAAGAACACCAGUGGCGAAGGCGGCUCACUGGCCCGGUAUUGACGCUGAGGUGCGAAAGCGUGGGGAGCAAACAGG